rnacentral:rRNA from 1 species
UACGUAGGGAGCAAGCGUUGUCCGGAAUUACUGGGCGUAAAGAGCUUGUAGGCGGUUUGUCGCGUCGGUUGUGAAAACUUGGGGCUCAACCCCAAGCUUGCAGGCGAUACGGGCAGACUAGAGUACUUCAGGGGAGACUGGAAUUCCUGGUGUAGCGGUGAAAUGCGCAGAUAUCAGGAGGAACACCGGUGGCGAAGGCGGGUCUCUGGGAAGUAACUGACGCUGAGAAGCGAAAGCGUGGGUAGCGAACAGG